rnacentral:tRNA from 1 species
AGGAACUUAGGCUAAUUAGACCAAGAGCCUUCAAAGCCCUUAGUAGAAGUUAAAUUCUUCUAGUUUCUG